GAUGAACGCUGGCGGCGUGCCUAAUACAUGCAAGUCGAGCGAACGGACGAGAAGCUUGCUUCUCUGAUGUUAGCGGCGGACGGGUGAGUAACACGUGGAUAACCUACCUAUAAGACUGGGAUAACUUCGGGAAACCGGAGCUAAUACCGGAUGAUAUUUUGAACCGCAUGGUUCAAAAGUGAAAGACGGUCUUGCUGUCACUUAUAGAUGGAUCCGCGCUGCAUUAGCUAGUUGGUAAGGUAACGGCUUACCAAGGCAACGAUGCAUAGCCGACCUGAGAGGGUGAUCGGCCACACUGGAACUGAGACACGGUCCAGACUCCUACGGGAGGCAGCAGUAGGGAAUCUUCCGCAUUGGGCGAAAGCCUGACGGAGCAACGCCGCGUGAGUGAUGAAGGUCUUCGGAUCGUAAAACUCUGUUAUUAGGGAAGAACAUAUGUGUAAGUAACUGUGCACAUCUUGACGGUACCUAAUCAGAAAGCCACGGCUAACUACGUG
rnacentral:rRNA from 1 species